rnacentral:rRNA from 1 species
AACGAACGCUGGCGGCGUGCCUAACACAUGCAAGUCGAACGAGAAAGGGGCUUCGGCUCCGAGUAAAGUGGCGCACGGGUGAGUAACACGUGGGUAACCUGCCUCUAAGAUUGGGAUAACUCGUCGAAAGAUGAGCUAAUACCGAAUAAGACCACAGUUCCCGCGGGAACAGGGGUCAAAGGUAGCCUCUGCUUGCAAGCUAUCACUUAGAGAUGGGCCUGCGCACCAUUAGCUAGUUGGUAGGGUAACGGCCUACCAAGGCAAAGAUGGUUAGCUGGUCUGAGAGGAUGAUCAGCCACACUGGAGCUGAGACACGGUCCAGACUCCUACGGGAGGCAGCAGUGGGGAAUAGUGCGCAAUGGGCGAAAGCUUGACGCAGCAGCGCCGCGUGAGUGAUGAAGGCCUUCGGGUCGUAAAGCUCUGUCGGGAGGAACGAAUGCUCCUGAGGUGAACAGCCUCGGGAGGUGACGGUACCUGCAAAGGAAGCACCGGCUAACUCUGUG